UACGUAGGGUGCAAGCGUUAAUCGGAAUUACUGGGCGUAAAGCGUGCGCAGGCGGUUAUGUAAGACAGUUGUGAAAUCCCCGGGCUCAACCUGGGAACUGCAUCUGUGACUGCAUAGCUAGAGUACGGUAGAGGGGGAUGGAAUUCCGCGUGUAGCAGUGAAAUGCGUAGAUAUGCGGAGGAACACCGAUGGCGAAGGCAAUCCCCUGGACCUGUACUGACGCUCAUGCACCGAAAGGCGUGGGAGCAAACAGG
rnacentral:rRNA from 1 species